UUUGUUUAUUACAAAAAGGGUGCAUCUAAAUACACACAACUUUUACUAGGUACACACAACACUGAUUUCAAUGUAUUGCACACAUAAUUCGGAAUUCUAUGAAUAAGAGACAGAGAAGAGGAGAUGAGAGAGAGAGGCCAGUACUUUCUGCUUUGGUCAUUGCCUUACAUGGAUGUGAUGUGUCCCCCUCUCUCUUUAUAUACACACACAUAUAUAUCAAAACCCCAUUAAACCUCUCUCUCUCACUGAAAACGUAUCACACAUAUAUUCAUUCACGCGCAUGCCUCUUUUUCCCUAGAUUUUCCUUUGUUUAUUUUUUUGUACAUUUUUUUUAUUAUUUAGGUAA